AGACCUAAACACACAAAAAUACGCCUAAAAAAAUCUGAAGGGGAUCGAACAAAAAAGAUCCCAGCGCCGUAUAACUCCAAAAGACCCCCUCCCUAGGUCGUCUUCUUCAAAGAAAGACCUGAAGUUGAAGCAAAAAACCAUGAGCUUCUUCUUCGCCUAAGGACUCAAACGCAGCAGACCCUCACCCAAGAACACCCACCAGCAGCCAAACACCAGCCACCUCUCAAAAAAAACACACUAUACACACAUCAGAUCCCGAAGCUACAAAAAAAUCCGCCGUUUUUUCUCUGAAAAAAGAUCAAAGACACACAAAAAGCAAAAAGACCCAAAAAUCAGACCCAAAAACUAACGCUACUAAGCAGCGCCGUUCUUCACACAAGGAGACCCAUCAGCUCUUCUUCUUCAACAAGAGGACACCAGAACCCUCACCCAAAGGACCCGUUGUUUCUUCUCCAUCCGUUUCUCUCGCACCAAACGUCCACCAGCUUCACGUCAACAGCCGGUUUUCACCACCGUUAAAACGCAGUCGAAGUUUCGGCGCUGAAAGUCCGUUCGAGUUAAAAGUUUUUCCGGUCAAGGUUCUGUUUGCGAUUCCAGUCCCGAGGCUGUUAUUUGAUUUCAGUUUUUCUUAUCUCAAUGGUUAUGGCUAUUGUACAAAGCUUGGCUUGAAGUUUUGUUAAUAUAUUGAAAGAGGUUUCCUUCAAAUUUCUUCGGUCCAGUUUGGUUUUGAGUUUAUUUCUUCCCUCUGUUUGAGUUCAUCGCUGCCGAUUAGUUGCUGUAAUCUCAUUGGAGAUGCUCGAUAAUAAUGUUUGAUCGAUGUCGUUUUGGUUCGAGUUUUCCGGUGCCUAGUCGAGUUUCCGUAUGCGGUUUAUUACAUUUUGAGCUCAAAGCAGUACUACAGUUGAUUUCCAUGCUAUACUGAGGGUACAACGAUCAGAUGUAGGCAGAAGAGGUUGGUUGUCAUGUUUGGCCAAAGCUGGAGUGAUUGCGCAGGCGACGCUGCUCUGCUUUUGCCCUUUCAGGUAAUCCAUUUCGAGGUUGGCUUGAAUGGAUUUGUUUUUGGAUCUUUUUCUGCAGUAAGAGUUUCCAUUGUUGCGGAUAUUCUGAUGCAAUUAUGUGCUGGAAUACUCUGUUUGAUAAUUCAACUAAUCACUCAAGAGAAUUAGAUAUUUGGAAAUCUAAAGGCCGAACGCCUCUGCAGAUUAAAUAGAUGCAUCUAUGGUUCGCGCCGUUAGACCCUCUGUCAGUGCUCAGUUAAAAUAUUAUGUUGGGUUGGGGCCGUACGACCUUGGCAUGUCUUGCGCAUGCUUGUAUUGUUUGCCUUGAAAUUUAUAAAUAAUGAUAUUACCUCCCUGGCCUGAGAUAAAUUGAUAACUGAUGAAAUAUUAAUUUGGAAAUCUCCUAUUAUCGAAUGAAUUGUUUACCUGCUUCA